AGCUGCCUGGUGAGCACAGACCGAACUAUUCUUUCGCCUUUUACUAAAUAAUACCGUGUGCACGCCACAAUUAGCAGCAUACGCUACUUUUUUAAGGGUCCUUCACCUUUUGGUGAGGGU
rfam:Hordeum vulgare subsp. vulgare, WGS project CAJW01000000 data, contig: morex_contig_2547891